ACAGCACAGCACAGCACAGCACAGCACAGCACAGCACCCCACCCCACCCCACCCCCUUCCGCUCACCAACUCACAGGCUACCUCCUACUGCUAUUAUCAGCUGCUACAGCUCGGACCCAAAGCCGCCAAAGAGUCAUCAAUCUUCAUCCCCACGACCUCUGAUGACCACCACCAGAAGACACUGCGCAAGCACAGAUGGGAGAAGAUUAUGGAAAUGACUCCUUGGAACUAAUUUUAAUAUGAAGCGGGGACAGGUUAUGAAUAUGUAUAGGUGCAUUGUGAAACUUCAUGCAUAUGUAACUUUACUGCAUAAAACCAAGGCAAGUUGCUGCAUCAGGUGCACACGACUUUGGCGGGACUACCCCCCCGUGCUGCCCAGCGCUGAAUAAACAUACCUACUUUACAAUC